UGUUUACAUUCACAUUUGAGGUAAAAUCCACUAGACAUGAUCACUGGAAAAAGAAAUUCACAGAAGAUGAAUUGAGAAAAUGAGGUGCCUGUGGUGAAAUUCUGGGUAAAAGCACAAAAUUAACUGUCAUCCAAGCCAAAGAAGAUAAAAUCAUGUGAAAUCAAGGUAAUCUUCUGAAAGAUCUAUUGGAUAUUGGUGGGGAAGAAACUCACAGCACAGCCAAAAGAAUCUCCUGAUUGAGUUUUAAAGUAGAAAAAAUUCCCAGUCCUGGUGAACUGCACAACCAUUGACUGAUCCAUGUGGUGUCUCAGAGCCUCGGGUGCUGUCUUGAGAAGGUGAAAAAUGUGGUUCAUACUCCAACUGUCUGUGUGAACCCAAUCCAGAGGGAACAUUUUGGGACCAUUUCCUGUGUUUUGGGUAAAAUAGGAGCCCUGGUUAAAUGAAGAGAGAAAUGUAGCCACCAUUUCUGACUCAAGAGGAGGAAACAGGUUUGUCUUCAGUUUAACAGCCCAAGAUAUUCCUGCGUCAAGUUUGCAGUGCUGAUCAAUGGGAGAUUCAUGCUCAUCCAUUAAAGUGAAGUCUGAUCUCCAGCUCUUUCCCUGACAAUGCCUGAGGCCCUAUUUUCUGCUGCUGCUUUUCUGCAGACUCUCAACAUCACCUGGAGCCUGCUGAGAGUGCCACCAAAUGAAGGAGCAGCAAGAACCCACUGGUGGAAGAGCUGAGGUUUAAGCUUGCUGUUUGAGAGAGAGAACUUCAUCUGAGAAACAAAGACACCAAGGCACAGAUUGACAAAACAUAGAAAAGCUUGGUAAAAGAAAAGUCAUCACAGGCUGAACUUUGGAACAAGAUAAUGUGCUGUCUUCCUCCAUGACUGACAGAAGUGAUCACAACAGCAACUCUGCCCCUGUUUCAGAGGUAUGAAGUCAGGGACAGGGCCUCAGCUUUGUACCACAAAUAAAGCUCCUGCUUUUUAGGUAAACCUGAUGGACUUGGGAACUUUCCUGAACCUACUCAAAUCAUAACCGGUGUGAUGCAGCACUGUGGAGCCUUGUAUCUGUCUCUGUGGGGGAAAAUCUGAGGCUGGAAAAUCUCAAAUAUAUUUGGGGAGAAGGAGCAGUGUAACUGCACCAACCCUAGCCAUGGCUUUGGCUGAGAGCACGGCAGGACGAUGCUCUGGAUGCCUUCAGGUAGGUGAGGUUACAUUUUCCCUGAGUGCUGAUGUGACAGC